UUUAACUUGGCAGAUUUAAUGCACCUGAUUUAGGAUCAGCACAUAGCCAUUUUGGCUAGUUGGAA
rnacentral:tRNA from 1 species